GACAGCAACAUUGGUCCUGGAGGAUUGCCCUGAUCUUGAUCAGAGGAACACUAUCCACUUGCUGGAAGGCAUCAAGGAGCUAUCUGAGGACCAGAAGGCUGAUGUCAAUAGCCUGACAGACAUGUGGGAACUGCCACGACUGACUGAUAACAGAUGAUAUCUUCAUCGGCAGCUUUUGCAGCAUGCGGCACUGCAGUCCGUGAUUUGUAACUUUGGGAACAGACAGGAGCCGAGGACAGCAUUCUAAAAUUCUGGGAAGAACUUCUUCUCAGAGAAAACAAAUGAGAAAGGGCCUAAAAGAAACUGAGAGAGAGUGUGGCCGAUAUUAUCCGAAAGAAGAGAUGUGGCUGAAGCUGUCUUCCCAUCUGGGAAAGAAGUGAUCUGCAGCCCCCAGGAACAAUACCAAACAAUAUACUUUACUGUCCCCAUGGAGAAACUUGUUUUGGACUCAAAUGCUGUGCACAAAUGGCUGCCUCCAUAGUAGUAUAAAAUAAAAUUUAAGCUAAGCAGCAUAUACUUUCAAAUCACAAGCACAAAUUACACAUUGUACAACUAGUGAU
ensembl:lncRNA